CUUCCCUCUGCCGGUGAACAGCCUUCCCUCUCCCGGUGAACAGCCUUCCCUCUGCCGGUGAACAGCCUUCCCUCUCCCGGUGAACAGCCUUCCUUCUCCUAGGAUUGUGAACAGCCUUCCUUCUCCCAGGAAACAGCCUUCCUUCCCC